AAAAUUCUGGGAGGGUAUCAAAGGUGUUUUUUUCCAGGGGAAGGCUCUUCUAUUGUACUCCGGGUUGCUCAUCAUCCCUGUGAUUUCCCCAAAAGCAGGAGACUCAACUGCAAACUUGUGUCAUUUCAC
rnacentral:snRNA from 1 species